rnacentral:rRNA from 1 species
UACGGGGGGGGGCAAGCGUUGUUCGGAAUUACUGGGCGUAAAGGGCUCGUAGGCGGCCAACUAAGUCAGACGUGAAAUCCCUCGGCUUAACCGGGGAACUGCGUCUGAUACUGGAUGGCUUGAGUUUGGGAGAGGGAUGCGGAAUUCCAGGUGUAGCGGUGAAAUGCGUAGAUAUCUGGAGGAACACCGGUGGCGAAGGCGGCAUCCUGGACCAACACUGACGCUGAGGAGCGAAAGCCAGGGGAGCAAAACGGGG